rnacentral:misc_RNA from 1 species
GAAUGAAAAAUCAUAAUCAAAUUAUGUAGGAAGCAUUUGAUUAUACAUAAAAAGAGAGAGCCCCCGGUCAAAUAAAUAAUAGGUGAUAUAAUAUCACACAAAGAGCAUAGAUCUGAAAUGAAGAACUACUGAAAAAUACAAGCAGGCAAGCUAAUGGAUUUGUCCUAUGUGUACUUUCAACAACACAUCAAGGUAACUUAUUCUGAAAAAUCACAGCCAUACUAGCAACAAAUUUGAAUUCACCCCUUCUGUACAGUAUACACUUCUAACCUCUCUUCGCUUAGCACUUAUGAAUAGGGAAGUCCUGCUAUUUUGUGGAAGGAUAUAUGGCUUUCCAGAAGUCUACCUCAUUUCCUCUCUCACCAUUUGGGCAAAAACCUUGCUCAUUGAAACACCAGAAAGUUCCCCCAUGCUUCCCAUGCUGACUUGUGCAUUAGAUACACUGGCUUCAAAGCUAUUGGCACGAUUAUUAACAUUUUCAGUCAUCUUACCAUUAUGACUGGAUCUCCCUUCAUUUCCCUGGAGUUGAAGUGCAGAUUCCAAAUUCCACAAGACAUCUCCCAUUGAAGGCCUAUCAACACCGUACUCUGCCAAGCAUUUCUCAGCUAUAUCGCCGAACUUCUUCAAAGAAUCUGUCUUUAUUUGACCUUCAAGACAAGGAUCUACGAUUUCCUCCAAUUGCCCUCUCCUUUGACACUUCAAUGCCCAUUCAACUAAAUUCACCUUUUCUCUUGGCAGCGAUGGAUCAAUGGCAGGUCUCCCACAAAGAACUUCAAACAUGACCACUCCAAAGGAAUAAACAUCAGAUUUCUCUGUGAGUUGUUGCCUGAUCAAGUACUCUGGAUCAAGAUAUCCAAAGCUUCCUUUUACUGCUGUGCUAACAUGUGACUGAUCAAUCUCAGGACCAGUCUUUGAAAGACCAAAAUCAGCAACCUUAGCCAUGAAAUUCUCAUCUAGUAGUAUGUUAGCAGAUUUGACAUCACGGUGAAUGAUUGCCUUUGCAGAGCCCGUAUGAAGGUAGUGAAGUCCUUUUGCAGCUCCAAUGCAUAUCUCAAGACGUUGUCUCCAACUUAAGCUGGGAUACUUUGAGCCAUAUAGAUGAUCCUUGAGAGUCCCAUUCUCCAUAAACUCAUAUAUUAUGAUCAUCUCAUUUCUUUCAUCACAAAAUCCAAUCAAAGAGACCAAAUGUCUGUGUCUGAAUUGAGAUAACAUUUCAAUCUCUGUUUGGAAUUCUGAGAUUCCUUGUGACUGAGAAGUCCCUCUUUUCACUGCCACCCUUGUCUCGUCUCUCAAAACUCCCUUGUAAACCUUCCCAAAGCCACCAACCCCAAGAACCAAACUUUCACUGAAGUUAUCGGUAGCCUCUUGAAUUGCCACAAAAGGGAAGCGAUACCCGAAUUUUGAAGUGGAAAAUAUCGGUGUCCCAUUUGAGAACUUACUGCCUGCAGUGUAAAUAGUAUCUCCUUCAUUCAUGGCAAAGUCAUCUUCUGCCUUGCGAUGGCUUAAAUCUGCUAGUCUCCUUCUACACAGCAGAAAUAAAACUAAAGCAAGAACAAAAAUAAUGAACAACCCAACAGCCAAGCCCACUAUUAGAAUGACUUUUGUCUUGGAACUUUUUGGGGAAAGAGAGUCUAAGACAUCAAGGCUUUCCUUAGAAUUGCUUAUUUUCGUGACCUCUAAGCCAUUAAGAAGGGCAUUUGGAUAUUGAACAUUAUUAGAAGGGCCAACGCUAACAUUUAGCAUACGGCUACCAGUGACUCUUGUGAUCACAUCCAUAAAAUACGGAACACCCACAUCUGAUGUGCGAUUAAGAAGAUCAAGAUAUUGAACAACUGCAGAUGAACCAAUAUAAACAUUGAAGUAGAACCUUGCAGAAGGUCUAGGCAAUAUAUCACAAAAAUGGAACCGAACCAGAUAGUCAAAACCAGGAUCAACAUUAAAAAGCCACGUCACGUUGGCAUUGGUCAUAGGAUCAGGCUCUGUAUUCAAUAUGGUAGCAGUGCCAUAGACAGAGGAUGGAGCAAUAUUCUCUGUUACCACCCCUUUUGAGAAAUUGACAGCUUUGAUAUCUGACAAAAACUUUUCUACAUUGCUUUGUUUAAGAUACUUACCAUCAGCAUCCCAAAAUCUCCACAAAGUAUCAUUUAGGGGAGAAACAGCUUUGUUACCCAUAUUCAACCUCUCAACUGUUUCCAAUGCAUGUUCCCACAGAUUCUGGUAGCUGCCCUGGGGACCAAUUGUUGUGGCACCCGGAGGAAUGAGCUCAUCAGGAAGUGAAAAAACUUCCAAUGCAUUUACAAAAGCAAAUGAAUUGGAAAAGGGAGAAAAGGUGAGAACUAGUCUAUCAGAAGUUACAUUAAAAGAGUAUUCCCUGACCUCAGGAUUAACCUUUGAUUGAUAUUCCUUGAUAAGGGUGAAAUUUUGGGCAUACACAGAGAAUUUGGCAUUGCUCAGAUUAUAGUUUCUAAACACAAAAGGAUAGAAAUAAAUGCGAAUCCAAUGUCUUCCAGAUUUCUUGACUGAAAAGGUGUAAUGGGAAGUUUCGUUGAAUAUUCUUGCAGUCUGGAAAAGGGAAGGGUUAUAGGCAGAUGAGUUGGGACUUGAACUCGCAUUGGCAAAAAUGAUGUGCGGGUUUGAAAGGAGAUUGGAAUAAAAUUGAUCAGCUACAAAAACACGGUCGCCCACUGAUUUAUUGGUGGAGGAUCCACAAUCUAUCAAGUAGUUGUCUACAGGAUUAUAUCCUAAUGAAAGACAUAUCAAACAUAAUAUUGAAGAAACCCAGAAGAGUAAUCCAGAACUCCCACUAUUCGCCAUGACAAGAAGUACAGACUACAGAGAGAGUAUGAUGGGAACUUCAAGAAGCAAAACCCAGAUCACAAAAUAAAAUUCAACAGAAGCUGUGAAAUUUAGAUUAUUAAAGGAGAGAACAAAAGAAAGUUCAAAGCUGAGAUGACAAAUUUGAUACAGCUGAGAUUUUUAAAGGAAACAGAGACAUAAAUGGCAAGCUAUAACUACACAAGAGCCAUAACGAAGCUAGCUAGCAAAGAAUAUAACGCCCAAUAGGAAAAAUAACUGAAAGCUGAGAACCUGAGAUUGUACGUAGAAUCUGCAAAUUUGUGCAAACCAGAGAUGGAAUAUCACAAUCAGAGAAGACACUGUAACAUGAGUACAGCGUAUCCUCACAACCACUUCAAAUAUCAACAACCCAGCAGAAAAAAAUAGAGGAAAGCAAGGAAUAAACAGAAGGGUAAGCUUCAAAAUCACAUGAAAGAUCAAAUGACAAGAAGCCAAGAAAAGAAGAUUAAAGACAGACCCCUCAAUCAGUGAUUAAGAGCUAGGUUUCAGAAAACAACAAUCAUGCAGAAACACGUUGCUACACAAGCAUUUGAUUAACAAAUUGGACAGCAACCCAACAGAAAAAUAAUUCUUUUCUUCUACACAAGCGUAUUAUUUUGACAAAUUCAUAGAACCAAAUGGAAAAGUACAAAACAGAACUCUAAGAAGAAAAACAUAUAAAGGGUAAACAAGGGAAAGUUAC